rnacentral:misc_RNA from 1 species
GUAGGUGAGCCUGCGGAAGGAUCAUUACCGUGGGGCUCCGGCCCCAUUGAGAUAGCACCCUUUGUUUAUGAGUACCCUUGUUUCCUCGGUGGGCUUGCCCGCCAUGAGGACAUCAAAACCCUUUGUAGUAGCAGUAACUUCAGUUAAUAAUAAAUAUUAAAACUUUCAACAACGGAUCUCUUGGUUCCG